ACGGGGGCUAAUACCGAAUACGACCAUUCACUGCAUGGUGUGAUGGUGGAAAGUUUUUUCGGUUUGGGAUGGACUCGCGGCCUAUCAGCUUGUUGGUGGGGUAAUGGCCUACCAAGGCGACGACGGGUAGCCGGCCUGAGAGGGCGACCGGCCACACUGGGACUGAGACACGGCCCAGACUCCUACGGGAGGCAGCAGUGGGGAAUAUUGCACAAUGGGCGGAAGCCUGAUGCAGCGACGCCGCGUGAGGGAUGACGGCCUUCGGGUUGUAAACCUCUUUCAGCAGGGACGAAGCGCAAGUGUUGGUACCUGCAGAAGAAGCGCCGGCCAACUACGUGCCAGCAGCCGCGGUAAGACGUAGGGCGCGAGCGUUGUCCGGAUUUAUUGGGCGUAAAGAGCUCGUAGGCGGCUUGUCGCGUCGAAUGUGAAAACCCGAGGCUCAACUUCGGGCUUGCAUUCGAUACGGGCAGGCUAGAGUUCGGUAGGGGAGACUGGAAUUCCUGGUGUAGCGGUGAAAUGCGCAGAUAUCAGGAGGAACACCGGUGGCGAAGGCGGGUCUCUGGGCCGAUACUGACGCUGAGGAGCGAAAGCGUGGGGAGCGAACAGGAUUAGAUACCCUGGUAGUCCACGCUGUAAACGUUGGGCGCUAGGUGUGGGGAGCCUCUCCGGUUCUCUGCGCCGCAGCUAACGCAUUAAGCGC
rnacentral:rRNA from 2 species